GUCCACCGUGGGCUUUGAAAAACGCUUUCCUUGAUAAAAUUUAAGCGUUUUAUAAGAGGAUGCCGGGGAAGGUUUUCCGGUUUAUCCCGGAGGGCUUGUAGCUCAGUUGGUUAGAGCGCGCGCUUGAUAAGCGUGAGGUCGGAGGUUCAAGUCCUCCCAGGCCCACCAGUUUAUCCAUUACUUUCAUAAGUGCUUUUAAAAAAUAAGUACUUCUAAAAAGAUUGCUUCUAAAAAGAUUGCUUCUAAAAAGCUUAUCAAAAUUGGCAGGCUUAUUGCUUUUGUGUGAGUAAUCCAAAGUUAAAGCAAAUUAAUGGCAAAAAAACAGUUCAAAUGCUAAAUACUAAGGAGUCAAAAUUCCUUGCAAAGUGAUUUUUACAGCGUCCAUUUGGUUGAUAUAAAUUCCAAAUGCUCAUAGACGUCAAUGCCUAUAUGAAACUAUCGGUUCAAUCAUAUCGCUUUGAGUUAUAUAGAUUUUGUAAUCCCUCUUUUGAUCGUUUUAAACGCUUUAUCCUGAUUUAGGGGCCGUAGCUCAGCUGGGAGAGCACCUGCUUUGCAAGCAGGGGGUCGUCG
rnacentral:misc_RNA from 1 species